rnacentral:rRNA from 1 species
CACCAGUGAGACUAGUGUUAUUCAUCUUAAUUAGGUUUAAAGGGUACCUAGACUGUAUAUCAAACCAUUAAACUUAUUAAGUUUAAUCUUUAUAAUAACUAUUGUACCACUUAGUUAUAAUAUAAGAGGUAUUGAUUUACUAGAGUUUUAUAUUAGGAGGGGAGUAUUUAAGAGCGUAAUGAUGAAAUAUAAUCAUACCUUAUUUGAACUGAUAACGGCGAAAGCAACCUCUUAUCUAAAGACUAACGUUGAGGGACGAAGCCUCGAUACACCAACAGG